UACGUAGGGGGCAAGCGUUAUCCGGAUUUACUGGGUGUAAAGGGAGCGCAGACGGAACUGCAAGUCUGAUGUGAAAGCCCGGGGCUCAACCGCGGGACUGCAUCGGAUACUGUGGAUCUGGAGUGCCGGAGGGGCAAGCGGAAUUCCUGGUGUAGCGGUGAAAUGCGUUGAUAUCAUCAGGAACACCGGUGGCGAAGGCGCAUCACUGGGCCAUUUCUGACGCUGAGGCACGAAAGCUAGGGUAGCGAACGGGAUUAGA
rnacentral:rRNA from 1 species